rnacentral:rRNA from 1 species
UACAGAGGCCCCGAGCGUUGUUCGGAUUCACUGGGCGUAAAGGGUGCGUAGGUGGUGAGGUAAGUCGGAUGUGAAAGCUCCAAGCUCAACUUGGAAAUGGCAUUGGAAACUACCUUGCUAGAGGGUUUGAGGGGGGACUGGAAUACUUGGUGUAGCAGUGAAAUGCGUAGAUAUCAAGUGGAACACCAGUGGCGAAGGCGAGUCCCUGGAAAACUCCUGACACUGAGGCACGAAAGCUAGGGGAGCAAACAUG